AAUACGAAGGGGGCUAGCGUUGCUCGGAAUCACUGGGCGUAAAGCGCACGUAGGCGGCUUCUUAAGUCAGGGGUGAAAUCCUGGAGCUCAACUCCAGAACUGCCCUUGAUACUGAGGAGCUCGGGUCCGGGAGAGGUGAGUGGAACUGCGAGUGUAGAGGUGAAAUUCGUAGAUAUUCGCAAGAACACCAGUGGCGAAGGCGGCUCACUGGCCCGGUACUGACGCUGAGGUGCGAAAGCGUGGGGAGCAAACA
rnacentral:rRNA from 1 species